rnacentral:rRNA from 1 species
UUUUCCCUACGGGGGGCAGCAGUGAGGAAUAUUGGUCAAUGGGCGGAAGCCUGAACCAGCCAAGUCGCGUGAGGGAAGAAGGCCCUGCGGGUCGCAGACCUCUUUGGACGGGGAGCAAGGCCGCCGACGUGUCGGCGGAAGGAGAGUACCCGGAGAACAAGCAUCGGCUAACUCCGUGCCAGCAGCCGCGGUAAUACGGAGGAUGCGAGCGUUAUCCGGAAUUAUUGGGCGUAAAGGGUGCGUAGAUGGCAUAGU